GACGAACCGUGCGAACGUUAUUCGGAAUCACUGGGCUUAAAGCGCGUGUAGGCGGGUGGGAACGUCGGCCGCUGAAAUCCCCCGGCUCAACCGGGGAAGUGGCGCCGAAACGGCCCGCCUGGAGGAACGUAGGGGGAGCUGGAACUUCCGGUGGAGCGGUGAAAUGCGUUGAGAUCGGAAGGAACGCCCGUG
rnacentral:rRNA from 1 species